CCCGUACUACAACCGCUCAGCGCGGGUUUAUAAAGCGUUCGGCAUCCCGAACCGCCUUGUCGCUGGCGAGUCUGAGUCUAUAU
rfam:Geobacillus sp. WCH70, complete genome.